rnacentral:lncRNA from 1 species
GAAUUUUUUUGAGGAAGAUCAGCCCUGAGCUAACAUCUGCUGCCAAUCUUCCUCUUUUUGCUGAGGAAGACUGGCCCUGAGCUAACAUCCAUGCCCACCUUCCUCUACUUUAUAUGUGGGAGGCCUGCCACAGCGUGGCUUGAUAAACGUGAGUAGGUCCACACCCGGGAUCCGAACUGGUGAACCCUGGGCUGCUGAUGCAGAACAUGCAAACUUAACCACUGUGCCACCAGGCCAGCCCCAUGGUAUUAACAGCGCAUGUGAUCCUUUAAAACAAGGAAACUGAGAGACAGAUGAUAAAGAAGCUGGAGUUUGAAGAGGUGGAAUCACUUGUCCAGGGUUACUCAGCCAGACAAGGACCAGAACCAGUGCUUGGGUGUUUCACCUCCAAGUCCAGCCACCUUUCCACUACAUCACGAGGUGCCUCGGACAGAGCACCCGGUUAGGAGGUCCUCCCAGCAGGGAGGUCGUAGGGCGGUGGCUUUGGGUAUAGGAGGAGAUGUCGUGAGCUAAGAUGAGGGUGCCUGUCUCAGGGGCGCAGCUCUAAAAGCAUCGUGGCAGGCGCGCCAGCGAGUUAGCCAUGAGGUCAGGAGCAGCACGAUGUCAGUCCUGGCAGACGUGUGGAGCAUGGAGCCACACGGAGACUUGAGUUCAAAGCGAAGUCUCAGCAGAUGUGGGUAGAGCAGAGAGUCAGCCUGGCCUGGCGGCCACCGUAACAGGAUUCUGGUCCUGGAAGCCUCACUUUGGGACUUUGGGUCAGUCAUUUAAACUCUUUGAGCCUCA